AGGCGUGUAGCUCAAUUUGGCAGAGCAGCUGACUCCAAAUCAGCAGGUUGGGGGUUCGAGUCCCUCCACGCCUG
rnacentral:tRNA from 1 species